UUUUUUAUAAAUUUAAUUGAUAUGACAGUACAUCUAUAACAAACUAAUAUCACAGCAAAUAUAACAUAUAAAAUAACUCUGAUAUACAAAACUUUGUCAAAUAUCGGAAAAGUAUUUAUGUAAUGUUAUUUGUCAUGCUGAACUUUACUUGAAAACACCAGGGCAUUAGGAGGGGAUGGGGGGCUUAAUAGUUUUGAUAUUAAUACCAAUUUAUUAGAAGUGAGUUAUAUAUUCACAUUAUUUUUAGCUAUGUUAUUAUAUAUAUAUAGAACAUGUGCAUGUAUACCAUAGGGUUCAAUUACAGGAUACAACAUUUAAAACAUAAAUAUUCUUUUUUACCCUUUUAAAGUCCCACCCCUUUCUUUUAACCUUGCAAAGUAUUAUCAUCAUAUAGCAGAAAAACCUAUAUGGAGAUUAACUAUGUGUCACUGUAGUUAUAAACAUCAACAUAUUGUGACUAGACAAACAGUUGUUUCUCAUAAGAAAUUUAUCCCCCAAAUAAUAAUUUUCACUCAGUUGUACCUAUAUUUACAAAAUAAUGAACAAAAUGGCCAACAACAUCAAAAUGUAGAUGUAAAGUUUGUUUUAACCAACUGUGAUGAAGUUCUUUUAGCGAGUGCUUGGAUAUAUUUGUAUAUUUGUAAAUAACCAUUUGAAGACUCCUAAACUGUGUUGCAAUACACAAGUUGUAACAAAAAAUUAUUAUGUAUAUUAAUAACAAGUCUUAUGCAAUUUAUCCCUUUUCAAAAAUCAAAAUGUCGUAUGAUUGCCUAUGAGAUAACUAUCCACCAAAAACAGGCUAUUAUUUGAACUUGAAAUUAUGGAAUUUGCAUAAUUUCUUGUGUUUGAUAAAUACCCUGUUUAUUCUGUAUUAUUAUGUUUUGAGCAGUGCAUAACAUUUUCCACACAAUGCAUUUUGUAUAGAUAGUGUUGUGCGCGGCACAGUGCAUUCUAUUGAAAAUGUGCUAUCUUCUUUGUAAUAGAAAGUGUUAUGCGGCGCACAGAACAUUAUAAUGCAGAAUAAACAUGGAAUUCAUUAAAAAAUUUCAAGCACAAGAAAUUAUGCAAAUUCCAUAAUUAAAAAUAAUUCCAAGUUCAAAUAAUAGCCUGUUCAAAGUUCAAAUGAAACAAAUGUAAUCAAUUAUAGGUCAUAUAGCUCUUAACAUGUUUCAGUAUUAUAUGUUUAUAUAUCUUUAGCUUUCACAGAUUUUGAGUGAUGAAGGUCAAUAAUGAAAAGUACUUUAUCUGGAAGGCAUAUGGACCCUUCUUUUUUUACUUGUUUACCUCCUUUAUUUAUAUACUAUUGUUUUAUAUUUAAAAUCUUUCAAAGCACUUGAUAUUUUGAAAAAGAGUAUCUAUAAGAACUAAUAUUGAUGAAUGUUAUUAUAUCUAAACUAAAAGUCUUCAACUUGUA
rnacentral:lncRNA from 1 species